rnacentral:lncRNA from 1 species
UUCUGCGCUUUCUUUGAUGUUUAAGAUUUGGCAUAUAUUUCUACUUAUGUAUCCGCCAUUUUCUAUUAGGAAGCUAAAGAGCAAUUAAAGUAAGUUAUCUCGGAGGCUGGGGAGAAAGAGUUUCUUGACUCAAAUUCAAAUUUGUCGGAAAUUAAUCUUAAACUUUCCUCGAGUAAGCGAGUUCACUAUAUCUAUUUUUUUUUUGUUUUCUUUGUUCAUAUACCUGCCUUUACAUGGUAAAAUAAUUAUCAUUAAUAGUUUUGUUUUAGUUUUGUAAUGUGUGUCCAUGUAAUUAUGGUUAUG